rnacentral:rRNA from 1 species
UACAUGCAGUCGAGCGGACAGAUGGGAGCUUGCUCCCUGAUGUUAGCGGCGGACGGGUGAGUAACACGUGGGUAACCUGCCUGUAAGACUGGGAUAACUCCGGGAAACCGGGGCUAAUACCGGAUGCUUGAUUGAACCGCAUGGUUCAAUUAUAAAAGGUGGCUUUUAGCUACCACUUACAGAUGGACCCGCGGCGCAUUAGCUAGUUGGUGAGGUAACGGCUCACCAAGGCAACGAUGCGUAGCCGACCUGAGAGGGUGAUCGGCCACACUGGGACUGAGACACGGCCCAAACUCCUACGGGAGGCAGCAGUAGGGAAUCUUCCGCAAUGGACGAAAGUCUGACGGAGCAACGCCGCGUGAGUGAUGAAGGUUUUCGGAUCGUAAAACUCUGUUGUUAGGGAAGAACAAGUACCGUUCGAAUAGGGCGGUACCUUGACGGUACCUAACCAGAAAGCCACGGCUAACUACGUGCCAGCAGCCGCGGUAAUACGUAGGUGGCAAGCGUUGUCCGGAAUUAUUGGGCGUAAAGCGCGCGCAGGCGGUUUCUUAAGUCUGAUGUGAAAGCCCCCGGCUCAACCGGGGAGGGUCAUUGGAAACUGGGGAACUUGAGUGCAAAAAAGGAGAGUGGAAUUCCACGUGUAGCGGUGAAAUGCGUAAAGAUGUGGAGGAACACCAGUGGCGAAGGCGACUCUCUGGUCUGUAACUGACGCUGAGGCGCGAAAGCGUGGGGAGCGAACAGGAUUAGAUACCCUGGUAGUCCACGCCGUAAACGAUGAGUGCUAAGUGUUAGAGGGUUUCCGCCCUUUAGUGCUGCAGCAAACGCAUUAAGCACUCCGCCCGGGGGAGUACGGUCGCAAGACUGAAACUCAAAGGAAUUGACGGGGGCCCGCACAAGCGGUGGAGCAUGUGGUUUAAUUCGAAGCAACGCGAAAAACCUUACCAGGUCUUGACAUCCUCUGACAACCCUAAAAAUAGGGCUUCCCCUUCGGGGG